CUGGGGGGACUCUUCGGAGUUGAGAAGGUAAAACCUGACCCCACGAACCUGAUCUGGUUCAUACCAGCGUAGGGAAGCAA
rnacentral:ncRNA from 2 species